CGUAUCUGGAGUCUAUGAACAGCCAUCUCGAAUGACGUUGCCAGUGUGAACAAAUAGUGACAAUGAGCCGAACAAUCAGUUUGAAAGCAGCUCUCAUUUCUGUAUUCACCGGUGUUUUCUUAUAUUUCACUGAGGCUUCAGCCCCCUGUAGUCAGUCGGAAUUUUUGUGUACAAACGGAAAAUGUAUCGAGCGUCAUUGGUUCUGUGAUGGUGAAGAUGAUUGUGGGGAUGGAUCUGAUGAGCGAUUUUGUGACAGAGAUCCUGAACAUCAGUGUCCACCUGGAUGGAAUCCUUGUCCAAAUGGGAGAAGAUGCAUCCCCAAAAUCUGGAUCUGCGACGGUACGACAGAUUGCGACAGCAUGUCUGAGGAAACAAACUGCGAAAGCAAUACAACGGAAGCAACAGAUGUCCUUGCUCUGAAAACAGAACUGAAAUCAUGGAUUAUGAGAAGAAGGAAAUCAGGUUCCAGGACGGAUCGUUGGGGGUCUCAGGUCCACCGAAUCGCCGUCGCUUUGCACUUGGCAGACAGCUCCACAUUCAGCCCUGAAAAUCAUACUGGCGAGGAAAUUCGUUACGAGCUCACGAUUCAACUUCUGCAUCGCCUUGCGAAAGAUAAAUGGAUCAGCUCACAGGAGCUCGCCCUUUACAUCCACGCAUUGCUGGUAGCUUGUGUAGACCCCAGAGACUUCUACGGCGACGACCUGGUUCGAGAGUUGCGCAAGAGGGUGGACGAAGCCGGGAGCUACGUCAGCCCAUUCCUGAUCCUCGCUUUGUGUAACGCAGGGGACACCAUGACGGUCAAAGAUUUGGAGAAAGUGACCGCCGCAUGUAAUUUGCAUCGAAGGCCAUCCUGGACAGAUUCUCAGGCCUUAGCCAGCAUGGCCGUGUCCUGCCUAUCUUCCCACAGCGACGUGCCUGUGGAUGAAAGCAUUCUCAAGGAUAUGCUGCUGGACCUUAAGCAGCACCCAUUCAGAAACGGAACCAUCGAUCAUUUAAAGACAACCGCACUCGUCACUCAGGCCUUGUUGAUCCACGGAUCUCAUGCGGAUUUCGACCUUGACUCGGCUAUGAAGGUUUUAACAGACGGACUGACCGGAAGCAAGUCCCUCUUGGAAGUCUACUACGCACUUCCCGUCCUCCAUCGAAGAAGCCUGCUCGACGUCGGUUCCGGCCAUUGCAGCAAGGAGCCAGUGGCGAAAGAGGAAGAUUUACAGAGUGCAUCGGAUGUCAACGAAGAAAUGAUAAAUGUCCAGUUCUCAAUCUGGAUUGGUGACGAGAUCAAUUUUGCCCGCACUUGGCGCUUGAGAAUGCGAGCCAACAGCACCAUUUAUGACGCCGUAGAGACUGUGGCGAAGAUUGGCAACGGACAGAGAUUUCAGAUUUUUCUCCAAAUUUUUCAGAGUCGAGUACAAUGUGAUCGAUGGUAAGCCGUACGUCGCAGCCAUGAGUGGGAAGGAGGACGAUCCCGAGAUGGACAUGUACUGGUUCACGUACUUGAAAGCUCGAAACUCUGACGAAGAUCCGAAGAUCGUGGACAAAAUUUCUAUAUUCAAAGCAACCUGAUACAAUGCACUAAUUGGGCUGUAGCAGUUGUGGAAUAAAGAAGAAGAGCAAAAACUUCCCACGUGCCAAAGAGUAUUAUUAUAGAAAGUUUUAUGUCCAGCAUAUUUGUAGCUCCCGGAUCAAUAUCCAAACUACUACCAGGAGGCCCACAGUGGUGUUUUUGGAGACUACUGAUAUCUUUAGCAAACGCUUGAAUUUGGACAUUUUUAAUUAAAAAUGUCUCUGCAUAGUUCAACUCCUCAGCAUUCAGUGGACCUGCUGUCUUCACUGCUCUUUUUAGGUUCUUGACAAACCUGAAAACAUAACUUAA